GGGCCCGCACAAGCGGUGGAGCAUGUGGUUUAAUUCGAUGAUACGCGAGGAACCUUACCAGGGCUUAAAUGUAGUGGGACAGGUCUAGAGAUAGACCCUUCUUCGGACUCAUUACAAGGUGCUGCAUGGUUGUCGUCAGCUCGUGCCGUGAGGUGUCAGGUUAAGUCCUAUAACGAGCGCAACCCCUAUCGUUAGUUGCCAGCGAGUAAUGUCGGGAACUCUAACGAAACUGCCAGUGCAAACUGUGAGAAGGUGGGGGAUGACGUCAAAUCAUCACGGCCCUUACGUCCUGGGCUACACACGUGCUACAAUGGCCGGUACAGAGAGCAGCCACUUCGCAAGAAGGAGCGAA
rnacentral:rRNA from 1 species